UGUUGUUGAUGCUGUCUUAAAAUGAACCGCAAGUUUUGUCUUUGCCUCUGCUUUUGUUUUCACUUACAGCACCUAUGAUUUUUUUCAGUGGCCAUGGGAUCUUACCUCGACGAGAAGAGCUUACCGUAUAACUCGGUUUCUUUCACAAACAGAGAGAAACAUGUUCAUAACAAUAUUGAGAUUAAGAGUGAAAUUGACUUACCUACGGCGAGGAGAGUUUCGCCGGAUUAUCGUUGAGGCUUUUGAUGAAGAUGGCCACCACCUCUUUGGAUAUUAGGGAGACUUGAAGAUGAGCUUCAAGCUCUUGGAUGCUCUCCACUAAGGUAUGAACUACUUCUUCACCCCUUUUCUAACUAUGGAACUUUGAAAAUUAUGAAAAGAGAGAUGUGAGAAAGCUAGUAGUAUAGUAGCUUUGGUGUGAUUUGCAAUGAAAUGAGGCCUUCUAUUUAUAGGAAAAGUUAAGGGCAUGUUUGGAUGAUAAUAAACUUGAUUGGCAAAUUGUAAUGAUUGCAAGAAUAUUCUUCAUGAGAUAUUUCUUAUGCAAGUGGAAGAAAAA